AUACGUAGGGGGCAAGCGUUAUCCGGAUUUAUUGGGUUUAAAGGGUGCGUAGGCGGUUUGCUAAGCGGGAGGUGAAAUGCCGGCGCUCAACGUCGGAAGUGCCUCCCGAACUGGUGGACUUGAAUGACUCUGCCGUGGGAGGAAUGUGUAGUGUAGCGGUGAAAUGCUUAGAGAUUACACAGAACACCGAUUGCGAAGGCAUCUCACGAAGGGUUGAUUGACGCUGAGGCACGAAAGCGUGGGGAUCAAACAGGAUUAGAUACCCUGGUAGUCCACGCAGUAAACGAUGAUGGCUAACCGCUGGAUCCAUCGGUUCAGUGGCCAAGCGAAAGCGAUAAGCCAUCCACCUGGGGAGUACGACCGCAAGGUUGAAACUCAAAUGAAUUGGCGGGG
rnacentral:rRNA from 1 species